CAAACAAGAAACAAAACAUGGUCUGCAAACUUUGUUAACGACAUACAAAAGAUAAUUUCAAAAGCACAAGAAAACGUCUAACCCAUACCACAGAGGUCCCACUUAUUACACAACAAAGAUCCUCAAACAUGGAAAAAUUAGCCAUCAAAAUAGCUACACAAACCAAACAGUCUCAUCAACAUUACCUAUGGAGAGAAGCAGAAAGGUAAAGCAGCUCAGUAAGUGUAGUUCUUGACAUGGAGGCUCUCAGAUGCACCUUCGCCCUGAGUAGAGUCUCCCUUGUAAGUUCCGAGGGUCGCCUCAGAGUUAGCCUUGCACCUUGCCAACAAGGCAGCCCUUGCCUUCUCCACAUUCUCCACUUUACCAACCCAGGCCUUCAGAGUGCUCUGCUGCAGAGCACGUCCGAAAGAAAAUGACAGCGACCACGGCUUCUUCGUGUCCAGCUUGUUCAUGGCAUUCAGGUUCAGGGUGGCCUCCUCCUCGCUCUGCCCACCAGACAGGAACACAAUAGCAGGCACCGCUGGCGGGACAGUGCGCUGGAGAGUGCGUACGGUGUAUUUAGCGAUCACCUCAGGUGCAACCUUCGGGGCAUCUGAGCCUGGUGUCACCAUGUUUGGCUUCAGCAGUGUCCCUUCCAAGAGGACGUUGUUGUCGUUCAGGGCCUUGUAGCACGCAGCAAGCACCCGCUCAGUCACAUAAGCACAUCGAUCAAUGUCAUGAGACCCAUCAACAAGAAUCUCAGGCUCGACAAUCGGGACCAAGCCAUUCUCCUGGCAG
rnacentral:misc_RNA from 1 species